GAUGAACGCUGGCGGCGUGCCUAAUACAUGCAAGUCGAGCGAACAGAUGAGGAGCUUGCUCCUCUGACGUUAGCGGCGGACGGGUGAGUAACACGUUGAUAACCUACCUAUAAGACUGGGAUAACUUCGGGAAACCGGAGCUAAUACCGGAUAAUAUAUUGAACCGCAUGGUUCAAUAGUGAAAGACGGUUUUGCUGUCACUUAUAUAUGGAUCCGCGCCGCAUUAGCUAGUUGGUAAGGUAACGGCUUACCAAGGCAACGAUGCGUAGCCGACCUGAGAGGGUGAUCGGCCACACUGGAACUGAGACACGGUCCAGACUCCUACGGGAGGCAGCAGUAGGGAAUCUUACGCAAUGGGCGAAAGCCUGACGGAGCAACGCCGCGUGAGUGAUGAAGGUCUUCGGAUCGUAAAACUCUGUUAUUAGGGAAGAACAAAUGUGUAAGUAACUAUGCACGUCUUGACGGUACCUAAUCAGAAAGCCACGGCUAACUACGUG
rnacentral:rRNA from 1 species